CGCCUCUUGCGUAUGCAUAAGAGGUCCAGCCUGCCCAGUGACUAAGUUCAACGGCCGCGGUAUCCUAACCGUGCGAAGGUAGCGUAAUCACUUGUUCUUUAAAUGAGGACUAGUAUGAAUGGCACCACGAGGGUUAUGCUGUCUCCUUUUUCUAAUCAAUGAAACUGAUCUCCCCGUGAAGAAGCGGGGAUAUAAAUAUAAGACGAGAAGACCCUAUGGAGCUUUAAAUUACGUAACACUGGCUUAUAUUUUAUUACACUUCAGAAUUAUCAUAUUUAUACCGGCCACUAUGAUUACUAAUUUUAGGUUGGGGUGACCACGGAGCAAAAAUUAACCUCCAUGUUGAACGGAACUACUCCUGAACCAAAAGCCACGACUUUAAGCACUAACAAAUUAACAAUAAUUGACCCAAUAUUUUUGAUCAACGAACCAAGUUACCCUAGGGAUAACAGCGCA
rnacentral:rRNA from 1 species